rnacentral:tRNA from 1 species
GGAGAGGUGCUGGAGCGGUUGAACAGGCCGGUCUCGAAAACCGGAGUGGGGGUAACUCCACCGUGGGUUCGAAUCCCACCCUCUCCG